rnacentral:rRNA from 1 species
CACGUAGGGCGCAAGCGUUGUCCGGAAUUAUUGGGCGUAAAGAGCUCGUAGGCGGUCUGUUGCGUCUGCUGUGAAAACCCGGGGGCUUAACCCCCUGCUUGCAGUGGAUACGGACAGACUAGAGGUAGGUAGGGGAGAAUGGAAUUCCCCGGUGUAGCGGUGAAAUGCGCAGAUAUCGGGGAGGAACACCGGUGGCGAAGGCGGUUCUCUGGGCCGUAACUGACGCUGAGGAGCGAAAGCAUGGGGAGCGAACAGG